AUGCAAAUAGGCUUAUUGAGUUUGUUUAUUAGUUUGUCAGAUAUUUUAUUUUCGAUACUAUUUUUUUUUAAAGUCGUGUAUAAUUUUAAUAAGUAUGGGUCGUGAAUUACAUUGUCAAGGAAUUCUGAUUGGCUAAAUGCAACUAAAGCACAAAAGAUAAGUUAAAUAAUAUGACAUUUCCGGAUUGACUAACUUUGUAGUGCAAUUUUGUAUUCACAAAGCUAGUAGCUACGUAGUAACUAGCGCCCAUUGUACUCAUUUUGAACACGAAGUGAUAAAAAAAAACUAAGACAAGGUGGAAAAAUGAUUGUUGAAUUUGCAAAAACCUUAAACUGUAGAAAAACACAUUUGAAACUUUACAUUCACGUCUAAAGAAGAGACAAGAUGAAACAAAAGAUACAUUUCUUUUGAUUGGUAAGAAUAUGUAAGAAGAAACCAUUUCUUUCUUUAAGACAACUCAAAAACGGAACAGUGACAGCUAGAACAAUAAGAAACCAACUUCCUAGUAUGAGUCCACGAAAAGUGCCGUUUUUUCACCAAGAAAACCAUUAUACAAAGACAUCCGUUUGCAAUCAAACACUUACACCGUUCUUAUUGGCAUAACGUUUUGUGGUCGGAUGAAACGAAGAUUUUUUUUUUGAUUAUGAUGAAAAAAUGUAUGUAAGAAGGGCAAAGAACAAGAAGUUUAACUCAAAAUACAAAAAAAAGACAGUAAAGCACGGCGGUAGGAAUAUAAUGAUUUGAGGGUACUUUUCAGCAUUUGGUGUAGAUCCAAUAUUUUGGAUAAAAGAUAAGAUGUGCGAUGUGGAUUAUGUCCGCAUCUUAAAUUCAGUUAUGCUACCAUUAACUGAAGAGGUGGUACCAAUCAAAUAGCAGUUCUUGCAGGAUAAUGAUUAGUAGCACAGCUCCAAAUUGGCUAACAAAUACUUACAACACAACAAAAUCAAUAUUAUGGAAUGCGCAUCACAAUUCCUAGGCCUUAACCCACUUGAGCACUAAUGGGGCAUCCUAAAGCGAAGGAUCGGAGAAAAUCAAAAAGAAAGACAAGUUGUUUUCGAAAAUUCAAAGGGAAUGGUACUCCAUACCCGUAAAGACAUUUGUCAAAUAGGUGAAGUCGGUGAGACGAAUAGUUGAGGCAGUUAUUAAUAAUAAGGGUGUCACUACAAAAUACUCAACGAAUUUGAAAUACUUUUACCGAUGAAACAAAAUAAUAAUCACAAACCUAGUUGGUAUCAUUAUUUCCCAUUAUUAUAUUAAAAACAAAAUUGUUGCAUUUAAGCAAUAUGUUAUUAAAAAUCUAUGUGUAGUUUUUACUUUCCUACUCUUCAC